AACCAGAAACCGGCCAGCAGCCUGUUCAAAUGGCACGGACGGAGACAUCGCCCUGACCCAGCCACAAACGCUAGCGGUGCGGGACGGCUGGCAAGCGCCAGAGCCCAGCACAUAGCAGUCCACAGGCUGCCGGUAUCCCAGCUACGGCGAGCACGGGAACGCGCACUCCGAGCCGUCCGCCUGGCUUGCGCCACCUCCUCUGUGUGAGCAGAGCAUUGCGGUUUGGGCAGGAUGUGAUGGCUUGAUUGGCAGAUUCCUCAGCUAGACAAAGAACCUCAAUCCAUAUCCCAUCGAGUUCAGUGGAAACAGGACCAAAUCCAGAGUGAAAAACAUCUGUCCUUUAUCUUGAAUACAUCUUUGUAUAUUUUGGGCUACAAGACUGUACUGUAAUAUAGUUCUCAUGUACAGCAUAUUGCCGCAUCACACAAUCUCGACUUUGGGCAUUAUGUUCAGCCCAUAUUAAUAUGAAGACAAGUGUAUGUAAUAGAGCACCAGGGUGAGAAGCACGAAGCAAAGAAGCUCCAUGUUUCAUCUUAAGUGAUUAGUAUAGUAUUGCAUCUAGUUACAAAAACUAAGAUGUUUCCAUGAAACCAGGUUCUACCAUAAGAUCCAGCAUGCCAACCAUUUCAUUCAUAAAAUUUCUCCCCCAAGCAUUACAGUUACUUAUAUUGUGAGAAAGUCCAAUUCAGUUCCAGGACCAGGAGAUUAUUUUUUCAAAUGGAAAAAAAAAAGUUAACACUGAUUUUCAUCUCUUCCCAUAAUAUUAAAAAUGAUGUGUAAAGCUCUGCUAAUCUGGUCUCUGGAUAGCGCCCAAUCUCUUGCCACGUGUUUCUGUUCUGGGUCUUGCCCUACGGGAAUUUCUGUCAGCACAUGCUCAGGAAACAGUUAUACCGUUCACUUUCUUUCUUUUUUUUUUUUUUUUUGACAGACUCUAUCUGAAGUUGGUGAACCUUUGCACUAAUCACUGCCAGGUGCCUCUGGCUAGCUUUCUGGAAUGCAAGGAAUCUUUUCUUUCGCUCCCUCUUUCUUUCUUUUUUCCUCUUCCCCCCUCUCCCUGAUAUAUAAUAAAUCCUUCAUUGCAGAUCA